rnacentral:lncRNA from 1 species
GUGUUAUAUGAACGUUAUCGGAAGGACGUACUCCUACAAAAACUUAGUAAAUGAAUGUAUCGGAAGAACAUAUUCCCACAAAAAUUGAGUAUCAGAGUUAUAUGAACGUUAUCGGAAGGACAUUUCAUACAAAAACUUCGUACUAUAGUGUUAGGGACGACAUCAAAAGUUCAAUGUAGGAUAAAAAACUUAAUUCACAUAGUUUUUUCACUGACACCCCCACCCCCUCUUAACUUAAUUUGGGAAAAAUUGAUUUACCAAUAGGGAUAUAUGUAAAAAUCGAUUUUAGAUAUAAAAAACUUGUAGAAUUUUAACCCCCACCCCCAAACUAUUUGAUUUAAGUUUUUUAUCCUACAUCGAUCUUUUGAUGUCCUCCCUUAUAUGAAUAUUAUCGGAAGGACAUACUCCUACAAAAACUUAGUAUCAGUGUUAAAUGAAUAUAUCCGAAGGACAUACUCCUACCAAAAUUGAGUACAAGUGUUAUAUGAACGUAAUCGGAAGGACAUACUUGUAUAAAGGUCAUCACAUGUAUGAAUUUUCGCAUACCACACUUGUAAAGAUCAUAACAUUCAUGAUUUCUCGUGUAUCUAUUGUCACUUAAUCCUUCACUCAACACAUGUACACCACUUUUGUAAAUUUCAUGAAUUCUCGUGUGCCUAUAAAAGUGACUUUUUCCACUAAAUUAUUUACCGAUACAGGUAAAUGUGCAUGCAAUUAUUCAUCACAAGUAUGGGUUAUAAUGUCUUUACGAUAAUAACCGUCGGAACUAAAGCUUGUACCCAUACGUCACAUUUUAGGUCUUCUUUUAUCAGUAUGUGUUUUUGUAUGUCUCAGACAAUUACUGAUUCUGCCAACUCUUUUUCAAAAUAUCACAUCUUAUCUUUCCAAGUAUGGAUUUUCAUGUGUUUAUUACGAUUGCUUUUGUGACCAAAUGCUUUACCACAUACAUCACAUCUGUAAGGUUUUUCGCCAGUAUGUGUUAUCAUGUGUGUACGACAAGAACUGCUUUGGCCAAAUUCUUUUCCACAAAUAUAACAUGCGUAAGGUUUUUCGCCAGUAUGUUUUUUCAUGUGUACAUUAUAGUUGCUCUUGGCACUAAAUUCUUUACCACAUUCAUCACAUUUGUAAGGUUUUUCACCAGUAUGUGUUCUC